GCCAGACUCCUACGGGAGGCAGCAGUGGGGGAUAUUGCACAAUGGGGGGAACCCUGAUGCAGCGACGCCGCGUGGGUGAAGAAGUAUUUCGGUAUGUAAAGCCCUAUCGGCAGGGAAGAAAUUGGACGGUACCUGACUAAGAAGCCCCGGCUAACUACGUGCCAGCAGCCGCGGUAAUACGUAGGGGGCAAGCGUUAUCCGGAUUCACUGGGUGUAAAGGGAGCGUAGACGGCCAUGCAAGCCUGGAGUGAAAGCCCGGGGCCCAACCCCGGGACUGCUCUGGGAACUGUGCGGCUGGAGUGCGGGAGGGGCAGGCGGAAUUCCUGGUGUAGCGGUGAAAUGCGUAGAUAUCAGGAGGAACACCGGCGGCGAAGGCGGCCUGCUGGACCGCGACUGACGUUGAGGCUCGAAAGCGUGGGGAGCAAACAGGAUUAGAUACCCCUGUAGA
rnacentral:rRNA from 1 species